UGGGGAAUUUUGGACAAUGGGGGCAACCCUGAUCCAGCCAUGCCGCGUGAGUGAAGAAGGCCUUCGGGUUGUAAAGCUCUUUCGGCCGGGAAGAAAUCGCGCCAGCUAAUACCUGGUGUGGAUGACGGUACCGGAAGAAGAAGCGCCGGCUAACUACGUGCCAGCAGCCGCGGUAAUACGUAGGGUGCGAGCGUUAAUCGGAAUUACUGGGCGUAAAGCGUGCGCAGGCGGCUCUAUAAGACAGAUGUGAAAUCCCCGGGCUUAACCUGGGAACUGCGUUUGUGACUGUAGGGCUUGAGUGCGGCAGAGGGGGUGGAAUUCCACGUGUAGCAGUGAAAUGCGUAGAGAUGUGGAGGAACACCGAUGGCGAAGGCAGCCCCCUGGGUCGACACUGACGCUCAU
rnacentral:rRNA from 1 species